rnacentral:rRNA from 1 species
GAGUUUGAUCCUGGCUCAGGACGAACGCUGGCGGCAUGCCUAACACAUGCAAGUCGAACGGGGAUAGCAAUAUCCUAGUGGCGAACGGGUGAGUAACGCGUGAGUAACCUGCCUCAUACAACGGGAUACCUGAGGGAAACUUCGGUUAAUACGGUAUAAGACCACACUGCCGCAUGGCAGAGGGGUAAAAGGAGCAAUCCGGUAUGAGAUGGACUCGCGUCGCAUUAGCUAGUUGGUGAGGUAACGGCCCACCAAGGCGACGAUGCGUAGCCGACCUGAGAGGGUGAUCGGCCACAUUGGGACUGAGAUACGGNCCCAGAACUCCUANNCGGGAGGCAGGCAGUGGGGGAAUAUNNUGGGCAAUGGGAAGGAAAAACUCUGAACCAGCNANUGCCCGCGUGAAAUGAAAGAAGGGUCUUUCGGAAUUGGUAAAAGUUUCUUUUAGUUCAGGGGAAAGAAAAAAAAAUGGACGGGUACCUUGGAAGAAAUAAAGCUCCCGGCCUAAACUUAACUUGGCCAAGCCAGCCCGCCGGGUAAAUACCUUAAAGGGAACCAAGCCGUUUUGUUUCGGAAAUGGAACUGGG